GAUCCUGGCUCACGAUGAACCCUGGCGGCGUGCUUAACACAUGCAAGUCGAACGAGCCUUGUCGGACGGAUUCCUUCGGGAUGAAGACUGGCGCUGGCGAGUGGCGGACGGGUGAGUAACGCGUGGGGAACCUGCCUCAUUCCGGGGGAUACCAGUCGGAAACGGCUGUUAAUACCGCAUAAGCGCACGGUGUGGCAUCACACAUUUGUGUUUUACUUUUUGUGGAAUGAGAUGGCCCCGCGUCUGAUUAGGCAGUUGGCGGGGUAACGGCCCACCAAACCGACCAUCAGUAGCCGACCUGAGAGGGUGACCGGCCACAUUGGGACUGAGACACGGCCCAGACUCCUACGGGAGGCAGCAGUGCGGAAUAUUGCACAAUGGGCGCAAGCCUGAUGCAGCGACGCCGCGUGAGCGAUGAAGUAUUUCGGUAUGUAAAGCUCUAUCAGCAGGAAGAUAUGACAGUACCUGACUAGAGCUCCGCUAAUACUGCCCAACCGCGGUAUACGUAUGGAGCAGCGUAUCCGAUUACUGGUGGUAAGGGAGCGAAGCGGCCAUAAACCGAAUGAACCUUGGGUCACUCAGCUGAUGUACUUGACUGAGGCGAGCCGGGAAUCUUGUGGAUGGAUAGAACUGAGGUGGAUCGAUAUGCAAACG
rnacentral:rRNA from 1 species